rnacentral:rRNA from 1 species
UACGUAGGGUGCGAGCGUUGUCCGGAAUUAUUGGGCGUAAAGAGCUCGUAGGCGGUGUGUCACGUCGGCCGUGAAAACCUGCAGCUUAACUGUGGGCGUGCGGUCGAUACGGGCAUCACUGGAGUUCGGCAGGGGAGACUGGAAUUCCUGGUGUAGCGGUGAAAUGCGCAGAUAUCAGGAGGAACACCGAUGGCGAAGGCAGCUCGCUGGGACGGUACUGACGCUGAGGCGCGAAAGCGUGGGGAGCAAACAGG